rnacentral:rRNA from 1 species
CCUACGGGAGGCAGCAGUGGGGAAUUUUGGACAAUGGGCGCAAGCCUGAUCCAGCCAUGCCGCGUGAGUGAAGAAGGCCUUCGGGUUGUAAAGCUCUUUCAGACGGAAAGAAAUCUCUUGGGUUAAUACCCUGGGAGGAUGACGGUACCGUAAGAAGAAGCACCGGCUAACUACGUGCCAGCAGCCGCGGUAAUACGUAGGGUGCGAGCGUUAAUCGGAAUUACUGGGCGUAAAGCGUGCGCAGGCGGUGAUGUAAGACAGAUGUGAAAUCCCCGGGCUCAACCUGGGAACUGCGUUUGUGACUGCAUCACUCGAGUACGGCAGAGGGAGGUGGAAUUCCGCGUGUAGCAGUGAAAUGCGUAGAUAUGCGGAGGAACACCGAUGGCGAAGGCAGCCUCCUGGGCCAGUACUGACGCUCAUGCACGAAAGCGUGGGGAGCAAACAGGAUUAGAUACCCUGGUAGUCCACGCCCUAAACGAUGUCAACUAGUUGUUCGGUGAGGAGACUCAUUGAGUAACGCAGCUAACGCGUGAAGUUGACCGCCUGGGGAGUACGGCCGCAAGGUUAAAACUCAAAGGAAUUGACGG